GACGAACCACACGAACGUUAUUCGGAAUUACUGGGCGUAAAGGGCGCGUAGGCGGCCUUCUAAGUCGAACGUGAAAUCCCCGGGCUCAACCCGGGAACUGCGUCCGAUACUGGAAGGCUUGAAUCCGGGAGAGGGAUGCGGAAUUCCAGGUGUAGCGGUGAAAUGCGUAGAUAUCUGGAGGAACACCGGUGGCGAAGGCGGCAUCCUGGACCGGCAUUGACGCUGAGGCGCGAAAGCCAGGGGAGCAAACGGG
rnacentral:rRNA from 1 species